CGGGAAAAUCAGCGCUUGCCAGACUCAGGUAGGCAGUGUGUUGUUAGCUGGCUGCGUUGGGUUAAGUAAGCAGCCACAGCUACCCUGCCACUUGCUUCUGGACGGGUCUUCUUGUUAAUGA
rnacentral:pre_miRNA from 14 species